CUACCUAGUAACUAAUCCAAAAUCAAAGCAUUGUUUCUCAUAGUAUGCAUUCUCUUAGCUUCCUCUCUCUUUAUCCCCACCUCUACCAUGGCUAGACAGCUGCAGGCAGAUCCCAUUUAUAAUCGACCUGGUGUUCCAUGUGGCCGUGGAGAUCCUUACAAUCGAAUGUGCGUACCUCAUGUAAAGCCAUCUCCUCCUAAGUGCACAAUCUAUAAUCGUCGUGGCUGCAGUCCUCUUGCAUCUGUACCUUCACUGUGGAGGGAAAGCCAUGGAGAACUAUUGGCAAAUUAUAAAGGGAAUAAUUAUAUGAAGCUAAAUAAAUAAGUUGCCAACCAGAUCAUGAAGUUGCAGUUGCCAUGAUUUGAGUUUUGA